AACGCACAUUGCGCCCUUUGGUAUUCCGAAGGGCAUGCCUGUUCGAGCGUCAUUAUCAACCAUCAAGCCUGGCUUGUCAUUGGGCUCUUAUCGGUAUUCUACAGAUAAGCCCGAAAGAUAACGGCGGUGUCGAGUCUGACUCCACGGUGCAGCGAGCUUUUUAGCAUACACCGGAUGGCUUCUCGAUCCAGUCUUUAACUAUUUUCUCAAGGUUGACCUCGGAUCAGGUAGGAAUACCCGCUGAACUUAA
rnacentral:misc_RNA from 1 species